UAUGGCAAAUGUGAGAUGCAGUGUAUGGAAUGUCAAAUUUCUAGUAUGAGAAAUUAACGAUUUAAGUCCUUCUUAAAUGAGGCCAUUUACCCAAAGAGGGUGCCAGGCCCGUAUAACGUUAAUGAUUACUAGAUGACAUUUCCAAAGAGUCGUGUUGCUUGAUAGUGCAGCACUAAGUGGGUGGUAAACUCCAUCUAAAACUAAAUAUAACCAUGAGACCGAUAGUAAACAAGUACCGUGAGGGAAAGUUGAAAAGAACUCUGAAUAGAGAGUUAAAUAGUACGUGAAACUGCUUAGAGGUUAAGCCCGAUGAACCUGAAUAUCCAUUAUGGAAAAUUCAUCAUUAUGAUUUUAAUAUUAAUAAUAUUAUAAUAAUGGUGUGCAUUUUUUCCAUAUAAGGACAUUGUAAUCUAUUAACAAACAUAUUUAUUAUAAGAUCAUUGCUUUAGUUUAUUCAAAUUAUUUCGCUUGCGAUUUAACAUAGAGUAAAUGCUUUUGAUUUGAUAAAGUGUUGAUAGAUUUAUUGUAUAUAGUGCUUGAAUAUAUUUAUAUAUUCUAUAAUAGCGUAUUGAUCAAUGAUUUUUAUGUUUAUUAUAUGCACUUAUAUGAUUAACAAUGCGAAAGAUUCAGGAUACCUUCGGGACCCGUCUUGAAACACGGACCAAGGAGUCUAACAUAUUUGCAAGUUAUUGGGAAUUAAAAACCUAAUAGCGAAAUUAACAUAACUUAUAUAAUGGGAUUAGUUUUUAGAUCUAUUUAUAGUCUANUAAUUCAAUCCCGGGGCGUUCUAUACAGUUAUGUAUAAUAGUAUUUAUAUUAUUUAUACCUCUAACUAGAGCGUACCUUGAGCAUAUAUGCUGUGACCCGAAAGAUGGUGAACUAUACUUGAUCAGGUUGAAGUCAGGGGAAACCCUGAUGGAAGACCGAAACAGUUCUGACGUGCAAAUCGAUCGUCAGAAU
rnacentral:rRNA from 1 species